rnacentral:rRNA from 1 species
AUACGGAGGAUCCGAGCGUUAUCCGGAUUUACUGGGUGUAAAGGGAGCGUAGGUGGAUUGUUAAGUCAGUUGUGAAAGUUUGCGGCUCAACCGUAAAAUUGCAGUUGAAACUGGCAGUCUUGAGUACAGUAGAGGUGGGCGGAAUUCGUGGUGUAGCGGUGAAAUGCUUAGAUAUCACGAAGAACUCCGAUUGCGAAGGCAGCUCACUAGACUGUUACUGACACUGAUGCUCGAAAGUGUGGGUAUCAAACAGGAUUAGAUACCCUGGUAGUCCACACAGUAAACGAUGAAUACUCGCUGUUUGCGAUAUACAGUAAGCGGCCAAGCGAAAGCAUUAAGUAUUCCACCUGGGGAGUACGCCGGCAACGGUGAAACUUAAAGGAAUUGACGGGG